CCCGCGCUCCUACCGCGAGAAGGGUGGGUGCUGGGGACUGUGGGCCAGGAACAGAAGCCCCGGAACCUGACCGGAGCAAGGUCCCGGGGCGGGGUUCGUGCGCGGCCAAGGCCACGACUGCAGCCGGGCACCCGAUAUGCAGUGGGCGCCGACGCGUCUGAGCCAGUUGGGGGCGCCUCCGACCCUCUCGCCCCCGCCGGGCGGCCCGUGCGCACGUGGCUCGAGAGGCGGCCAGGCCGAAGGCUCUUCGUUCAGCUGCUAACGGGUUGCUCUUCCCUCAGGGGAAAGCCACAGGACGCUGGGUUUGUCGGCCGGCUCGGUCACCCGCGGACGCCCGCCCUCACAAAGCGCCUGUGUUCCUGAAUGUUUCGUUGCAAACGAGAAGCCUUCACCCCAACUAAAAACCACACACAACGAUGACAGUGAAUUUUACAAACUGUCUGAACUCAGAAUUCCCAUGUGGAGCCCAAACCGAGCAGCCUUUCUCUGUAAUGAGGAAUGACCUUUUCGACCUUGGAUUAUUUAACGCUGUUGAACACUGGCACCACCUAAACAUAAAUACAAGGCAUUUCCUGAGAGUGUGUCUGUGAUUUCCAGGAGUUUAAUUUCAUAAGCUGCUCUGCCUAUCCCUUUAUAAAAUAUGCUGACCCAUAUAAAAUUAUUCUGGAGUGCCACUUCUCAGAGUCUGGGAGAACAAUGAGAGUUUGUACAAGAACCUCGAUGGGACAUUUUUUACACAAAUAACCUAAUGAUGGAAUUAAAUGCUUUUAGAUUUUGUCUGUGAGCACUUUAUGUUGAAACAUCUUGAAGAGAAACUUGAGGUUUACGGUGUAAAGAGGUGAAAAUUACAGACCAUGAAGAGGAAUUAGGAAGCCAGAGCUGGAUAGGGCUUUAGUCUGCGCUCUAGCCUUGCCCAACAGCUCAGAAAACUAGGCCAAGAAUUGCCCCAGCUCCCACCAACGGCCAUUUGGGGGCAGCUAAAGGGAUGCUCUGCUUCAUCUUCUUUGUUCCAGUUUUUCAUGGUUUUCAAGAUACAGAGCUGGACUUUUGAAAAUACAUAAGACUGUGUUCUGAAUGCUUUACUCUGAAAUUAAUGCAUUCAUUUGUUGAUCUUCAUGGCAGGUUUUCGUUAGAGAUCCCUUCCAACACCAAGCAAAAUUAGGAAGUUACGAAAUUUCUCUUUGGUGUCUUCUUAGCUCCCCUUUCUGAACACAUCGUGCUACCGUCUGUCCUGGACCAAUCUAGGAGCUCAAUUACAUCUUUAGAUAAGCUCUUAUGGACCUCAGCCUAUCUAAACAUCUAGAGAAAAAGACUUCAUAACUUCAUUGCUUAACUUCCAGAUAUCUUAAGGUAGAAUCAUGUGGUUUUUUACCAGAAUGAAGUUUGGAGCCAGCCAGAUUUUCCUAAGUCAAAAUAUUGGCCUCAUUUCUUCCAUGCUAUGUGGAUUUGAGUAAGUUACAAAUAACCUUCUUUGCCUCAGUUUUAAUUGCUCCUCAAAAAAUAGGGUAUUUGGGUGGGAGAGAGGGGAAACUGGGUGAUGGGCAUUGAGGAGGGCACUUGUUGGGAUGAGUACUGGGUGUUGUAUGUAAGCCAAUUUGACAAUAAAUUAUAUUUUUUAAACAACAGGGUUUUUGUUAUGUAUUAUAUACGUUAAUAUACAUGUAUUUGGUACUAGUGUGUUUGCUACCGUUUUUAAAGACUGGCUCACCAGUGUACCAUAAAGUGAUCCACAUGUUGCUGGGCACAUAGUAGGAGUUUAGUAAAUAUCUGUUAAUCAUUGAAUACUGAAACCAGCUUUUUCUAAUGGAUUAUCCAAGUUUCUCGUGCUUUACUGACGAUUCUCUGUGGAAACACAAAAUAGUUCUUCACCAUCAUGACCUAUAUGCUAGUCUGCUAGUUACCUCUUUCAGAGGCCCUGGGAAAUCACAUUUACUUUGGUAAGCCCCUAGAGUACCGUGCUCUGCCUUGAAAAGCUACUUCUUAACUGUCCCCUCCACCCCCACCCUGAGGGUGCAGCCUCAGUGGGCACUCUGGUCACCAGGAUGUGAAAUGCAGUCAAAGAAUAGAGGGGGGAGGGAGGCAGUGAGAGAGCGGAUGGGCACUCAUGACAGACUGUCUCCUUUUGCCUUACUCUUUAUACCCUUAUUAAUCUGGGAGUCCUCUCGCCUCAUGUCCUUUCUGGAACAAAGCAGGGUCUAAAUAAAAUGUCAACAAUGUUUUUCUAUUCUACCUACUUCUCUAGCUUCCCAGGUUAUUUUGAAAUCUGAUCUGAUUCUUGGAGGCCAAGACUCACUGAUUAGGACAUUUGACGAGCUUUGUCCUUUCAUCUCAUCUGAAUCCCUAGAAGUAGGCCCAGGGUAAACAUUUGACCAUUCUUGGCCUCAGGUGUGGAAAUUUGGUGUUAAGGGCUGAAUUUUGUCUCCCCCCCAAAUUCGUGUGUUGAAAUCCUAACCCACAGCACCUCAGAAUGUGUCUACAGACACAUUGGAGAUAGGGCCUUUAAAUAGGUAAUCAUAUUAAAAUGAGGUUCUUAGGAUGGGCCCUAAUCCAGUAUGACUGAUGCCGUUAUAAGAAAAGGGAAGCCAAGAAGACAGGCCUCAGGAGAAACCAAAGCUGUGGACACCUUGACCUUGGACUUCUCACCUCCAGAACUGUGAGGAAAUACAUUUCUAAGCCACCCAGUCUGGGGUACUUUGCAGCUUUAGCAAAUUGAUACAGUUGGGAGUUAAAGAGGUUCAUCACCACACUUAGGGCUACAGAGAGCUUUUCUCAGCUAAGAGGCCUUGUAGAAGGCCAUAGGGAGUCUGGCUCUCCAGGAUGCAACAACAGAGCCAACACUCUGUCUACCGCCCAGCUCCCUGCCAAGCUGUGCGGGGGUGGGGUGGGGGGGGGGGGUCACUUAUGCAAUAAUCAAAGUCAACCAACCCCACAACUUCUCACUAAAUUAAGUCAGACAGGUGAUUACCAACACAUGCUCUGUAUUUAAAUAUCACCCAAUGUUCUAUGCAUGGCUCCACAACAAAGAACCAUUCUUGGAGACCUUGCAAAACUCUGUUCCAGCAGAAUUGUCUAUAAAAAACAUCCUCUGAAGGUUAUCUCUCCUCAUUUACUUCCACUGUAAAACUGGAGAUGCUUUUUCUUACUCUGGAAAAAACUUCCAGGUCAUCAUUCCCACUGAGGAAGCGGUCAAUGGGGUCAUUACCCCUCCUGCUGAGUGUGACCUUGUACCAGAUAAGCCCUGAGAAUUCACCAGGUGUGCUGGCUUUCAGAAUUUUGCAAAGUUUUUCUGGAACCCCUGUUUCCUCUUUGCUGUGCUCUCCACUCACUGCUUAUUUCCAUGCUAUGUCUGUCGGUCUUACUACUGUGGAUCCCGGAGAUCUACAACAAAGCUUCAUGAAAUUGUACUUCAAUUUCUGUUAACCUAACCUUAACCUGUUAACCUUCAUUCUGUUAACCUAACCUUAACCUGCAAGACCUCAGUCUUGUAAAAUAAAUGUCCACUAUUUCCAGUUCCAUGCACCUGAAAUUCUGCAUGAGGAAGUUCAUGACAUUGAUGGUUCUAGCAGAGUAGAUGAGAUUUCACAACCCAUGGACCCAGAGGUAUUAUGUGCAACUCUCUUUAUUUCCCCAUAACUGGAUUCCCUCUCUAGCUUCCUCCCCUACCCGAUGGCAGAAAAGUUACUUCCAGGACAAUUCAGACAUGUCCGAGUUUUCAGACUUUUUCAAGUUCACAAUUCAAUUAAUUCAGCUUUGAGCUCUCCCUGCUUUCCCUAGGUGGGUCCAUACAAAGGGGGCUCAGCCGUGGGAGAGGACUCUUGCCCUUUGAACCUCUCUCUGUCUUAUGCUAGCUGAUGCUGAUAUGAGACCUGCUCCAUCCAGGCCACUAUGAUGAUUCCUUCCUUUGACAGCCUCGGCCAUCCUAAUCUCGGGUAUUGACAGACCGUGCUAGUUUUUUUUCCUUAACCCCCAGGUCCCUUCGGGUCUCGGGCAACCCCUCUCGGGGCACUGGCGCUAUGGGAUGCUCCCCAGGGGACGUUCCCAGCCUGGUCUUUCCAGUUUGGACAUUUUCCCCUUUACUGGCUCACCCUCCCCCAAGCUGGUGUCGUGUGGAAGGAAAUCAGGUCCGUGCACGCUUCCCAGGUCCUGCCAGGAAGGGGCCCAGGCUUCCUAAAGUUUUCCAGGAAAAGUCCUCCUCCCCCGCUACCCCCCAGCUCCGCCCUUCUGCGGGAGGGGGCAGCGUGGCUGGCUUUAAGCUUUAACUCUUCCAUCACAGCAGUGCUCCUUCUGUGUCUCACGCCAUCCGGAUCUCCGAUCUCCCGGGGGAGGAGGCGGUGGUGGGAGGGACACAACCUCUGCCUCAUCAUAUCUUUUUCAAAAUUUGUAUUUUGUUCAUCAGCACUGACCAAGUGGGCAUGCUUUGUUCUGAGUUCUUCUCCUGGAGGGUCCGUGACAAAUCUGAAUACGUCCAAGGAAACAAUUGGGUCAACGGAGGAGGCUUAUCUCGGAGAAGGAAAAACCUCUCAGCAUGGUGGAGAAUGAGCCAUGCUCCCAGAUGCUGGAUUCCUUGCUCAAAAUCAGCUAGAGGCGUGGUUGUAUUCCUUCGGUAAGGUCUCCACCGCAGAGAGAAGUGGCUGCACCCCACCAUCACAGUAAUGUUUGUUGCUGUUGAACUGUCAAGCGCAGUGGCCACUGGUCCUUUCAGGCACAUCAGUAGAUGCUUCCUCACGACGAACCACUGGCAAUCAUUUCACUACUAGUGAUGCUGUCAUAUGCUGCAGAUUACUGGCGUCCCAUUUUCAUCAGGAAGAACUUCAGCACUGCAUUCAAGGCCAAACACAUCCGUAUCCAUCCCAUAUUCUGACCUUUAAAAGUUUGUUUUCUUGGACCACUCACACCCGAUAUGACAUGGAUCAUGGUUCUCGGGACAGCAGAGACAACCCUAGGCAUUUCACUAGAGAGAAUUCAAUGUAGGAAAUUGGCUGUGCAGGUAAGAAGGCAAACACAGAAAAGUGUUUAGUGAGCAGAGAUAGUGGGGGCUGGCUCAGGAAACAAGGCAGAGGCCGGAUCACCAGAACCUGCCAGCUGGGAGGGGUGGCCUGAGGCGGGGAGCUGGGCCUCCAUGGAGAGCUGUUCCACAGGCAGGGCAGAGGCGUGGAAGAGGGGCCUUGAGGCCAGACUGCUGCCUGGUGGUGCUGUCACCUCUGCAAGACACAGGCAGACUGGUUUGGGGGUCUGGAAAACAGCUGGGAGUCUGCCAGUGUGAUGGUGACAAGAACAGCAGGCCAGGCCAGCAGGUGGCCAUUCCCUCUUCAAGCCUUCCAGUGUCCUCUCAGUGCUCCCACUGGUGGGUCCUAAUGGGGAGCCAGCUGGCAAAGGGAAGUGUAUUUGCAGAGCCUUGACCUUGGCCUCAAACUGCAGAGCAGAGCAGGGCGGUGCUGAGCUUCGAGGCAAUGACUUAAUAACUAGCACAGCCUCACCUGCUCGCAGGACACCCAGACCCCUCACCACCUGGUCUGCUGAUCACACUUGCCUUCCCCUCGUCUCCUUCCCUCCCUGAUGAGGGGGUGUGGUCCCUCCCCGCCAUCUCCCGGGGAGAACCGAUGAUGCCCACCUCGGGUUCCGUUGUACCUGCCCAGGUAAUUAAGAAAGCACUGGGAACACAUCAACAUGUCUGUUUCUCCCUGUUAAAAUCCUGAAGCCCCUUGAUGGAAAAGGGUGAGUUUUCAUCAUCGUGCCUCCAAAGCUAUGGUUGGCACAUAGCACAUACUUUAAAAACAUUUGUUGAGGGAGCGCCUGGGUAGCUCAGUCCGUUGAGCAGCUGACCUCUGACUUCGGUUCAGGUCAUGAUCUCAUCAGGCUAGCUGUUAUCUGCGCAGAACCCACUUUGGAUCUUCUGUCCCUCCCUGGCCCCCUGCCCCUUCCCUGCUUAUGCUCUCUCUCAAAAAUAAAUAAAUCUUUAACAAACAAACAAAACAUUUGUUGAAUGAAUAUGUCGUAGAUGUUUGCCCAGUCAUGGCACUGAUAAUCUAAUUGGAAGAGGUCAUAUAAAACAUUAAUAUACAAAUUGAAAAUCUUUAAAGGAAAGUGAAGCACACUGGACUUUAAAAAAAAUUAGUUUUUGAUUUUUCCUAAUUUAGAGAAAACUCUAACAACUUCCUUUUAGUAAUUAAAUGUAUUAGGUAGCUUUUGAGGAGUCUCUAAUAUAACUUUCCUUUAGUAAUCAAAUGGAUUAGGAACUUUUCGGGAAGAGUUUAAAAGCCCUCAUCUCUGCAUGAGUUGGAUAACACACAUGGAAAAUACUUGUGGUCUGAGAACAGAGGUGUUUUCAUAUAUGGAAGGGUUUUGUUCUUUUCCCAUUUUCUUUGGGAAGGAUGGUUAUUCUUUUAUGGAAGAUGACAGAAACAGCAAAACAAUGCUAAAUUUCCUCCCAGGGAAGCACAUUGGCCCCACAGAGGUCACUUCUCCGUUCUGAAGAGGGCGUUCCCUCUCCAAGCUGUCCGCUGGGGACGGGAAGGGCUCAAAUGAUGUCUUUGGACUCACGGUUGGCCCCGUGACAACUUUGGAGAGUAAAGUAAUGCUGACAAUAAUAAGGCGCAUUAACCAAGGGGCGCAUUAAUCGAGGGGCACAGAUACUUUAAACAAUAUGAGGCUGACACUUGAGCCCACUAAGAGGCUAGGAGGGCCAGGCA